GAUGAACGCUAGCGGCAGGCUUAAUACAUGCAAGUCGAGGGGCAGCAGGGUAGCAAUACUCGCUGGCGACCGGCAAACGGGUGCGGAACACGUACGCAACCUUCCCAAAACUGGUGAAUAGCCCUCCGAAAGGAGGAUUAAUACACCGCAACAUAAUGAAGUGGCAUCACUUUAUUAUUAUAGCUCCGGCGGUUUUGGAUGGGCGUGCGCCUGAUUAGGUAGUUGGCGGGGAACGGCCCACCAAGCCUGCGAUCAGUAACUGGUGUGAGAGCACGACCA
rnacentral:rRNA from 1 species